GAUGAACGCUGGCGGCGUGCCUAAUACAUGCAAGUCGAGCGAACGGACGAGAAGCUUGCUUCUCUGAUGUUAGCGGCGGACGGGUGAGUAACACGUGGAUAACCUACCUAUAAGACUGGGAUAACUUCGGGAAACCGUAGCUAAUACCGGAUAAUAUUUUGAACCGCAUGGUUCAAAAGUGAAAGACGGUCUUGCUGUCACUUAUAGAUGGAUCCGCGCUGCAUUAGCUAGUUGGUAAGGUAACGGCUUACCAAGGCAACGAUGCAUAGCCGACCUGAGAGGGUGAACCGCCACACUGGCACCGAGAAACGGUCCAGACUCCUAAGGGGAGCCACAGUAGGGAAUCUUCCGGCAUGGGGGAAAGCCUGACGGAGCAACGCCGCGUGAGUGAUGAAGGUCUUCGGAUCGUAAAACUCUGUUAUUAGGGAAGAACAUAUGUGUAAGUAACUGUGCACAUCUUGACGGUACCUAAUCAGAAAGCCACGGCUAACUACGUG
rnacentral:rRNA from 1 species